AUGAAUGAACAUUACGGUCCAUACAGUAGCUACACGAUUUCCCCUGAACUUCAACUGUUAUACAGAAGUUUUUUUUAGGGGGGGCUAAGACAUCCAUAUACUCGAUACUCGCAAAUCGGACGUCACCAGGAUCAUCCAUGUCUGGAAAUUCACGGUGGAUUGUCCAAUGGGAAGGGAAGGAGGCCCCUCGGGAGGUCAGAUGGAGUUAUUUUGCAGACAAUACUGUCCCUGCGAGAAUGAGAGGGGCAGUUGUGAUACAAUGCCUUGGUCCUUGCUGUUUUGCGCCCUGUCGUGCUGCUCAGAACUUUUGCCGAAAUUGUGAAUUAGAACGCCAGUCCUGCUGUUUACAGUCUCCGACUCAUCCGUUAACACGCCCGAAAAGACGAAGAUCAGAUUUGUUGUGA
rnacentral:lncRNA from 1 species